CUUGGCAGAAUAUGUGGGAUCUUACACUAGAUACUGAUUUGUUAAAGGAACUGCCUAAAAAGUACACGUUUGAAGAUUUGAUUGUAGGCAUCUUUUGCAUAUAUUCUUUGUUGUAUAACAUUCUAUAUUUCUGUUGAUCACUUUAAGCAUUAACAUCAUUUCAAUUGUGUAUCAGGAUAACUCAUUGCAUGUUGUAUGGUCUAAUCAUGCAGGCCACAGAAAAUUAAUAAGGUAUGGAAAUUCUUCCAGCUCAGCUCAUGCUUUGGUUUAUGAAAAGGAACAAUGCAGGUGACCAAAUUUGAAUGGUGGCCGCCGCAUCUCAACUUGAUCAAGAUUGAAGUGAAUAAUGAAGAAUUUUUAAACUAUUUUUAUAUACGUUUGAAUACAUAUGAUUUUGUGUAAAACUUACUACAAAUAUUUAAAAUUUUGUUUUCUAAUUUGUAUGUGUGGUAAAAGACAUGAUUUUUUAAGUUCAUUGCAAAUCUACGCAUUUGAAUUA